UACGUAGGGUGCAGGCGUUAAUCGGAAUCACUGGGCGUAAAGGGUGCGUAGGCGGGUCUUUAAGUCAGGGGUGAAAUCCUGGAGCUCAACUCCAGAACUGCCUUUGAUACUGAAGAUCUUGAGUUCGGGAGAGGUGAGUGGAACUGCGAGUGUAGAGGUGAAAUUCGUAGAUAUUCGCAAGAACACCAGUGGCGAAGGCGGCUCACUGGCCCGAUACUGACGCUGAGGCACGAAAGCGUGGGGAGCAAACAGGG
rnacentral:rRNA from 1 species